AAUUAUAGCAAAAGCAAAUACGCUAAGGGAAAAGGAAGAGAAGCAAAAGCAAAAGCAAACGAAAGAGAAUUAGUCAAAUAGAAGCGGCAGCAAACAGAGGGAGAGAAAUAUUCACAAAAAGAUCUGUGACCAGGCAAACCGGAAAUUAAAUCUGCAACGUUUCUGCCCCGAAAAGACCAGGAGACCAAAGACCCGAGACCUGAGACCCGAGACCUCAGAGUCCAGAGUCCAGACCCCGAAAAGGAAGAGAAAGCCGCAGCAGCCGCAACCGCAGCAAAAUCCGAGUCGAGCAAACGGAACACGCGUGCCAAAUAUUUGCUCAAAAAUAGGAGAAUAAAAUAAUAAUCAAAGCACCGGAGAGGAGAGUAUCCCAGCGAAUUGAGAGAUUUAUUCGGCGGGAGAGUGGGCAAAUAGGGGGACACGUUUCAUGAGCGCUGCAGCAGGCUCCGAGAGCAGGGAAAGGCCACGGACCGCCUUCACCGGAGGCCAUUGUUGACACUCGCUCUGAACUCUGACCCUCCGCCGUUGGUGCGUCUCGUCUCCGGUCCAAGCUCCAGCUCUUUGUCUCCAGCUUCUGCUCCCGCUCCCGCUUUUGUGCUAAUCAUCGCGGACACAGCGAACGACGACUGCCUGAAAGGAGGUGACGGAGGAGAAACCCUGGCCAACUAUUUAACCAAGGUGACGAGGCAAGGAUUGCUUGUCCCAGAGGCAGCAGAAGGCAGUCGGAGGUCAGGCAGCUAUUCAACCCAGGAGGCAGGCGAAACAAGCAAACCAAGGACAUGGACUCCUCGCUGCCGUCGUCUCUGUCGCUGUUUGUCCUGUUGAUCUUUCUGGCGAUAAUUAAAGAGAGCUGUCAGGGUCCUCAUGAGAAGCGCCUGCUCAACCACCUGCUCUCCACCUACAAUACGCUGGAGCGACCCGUCGCCAAUGAGUCGGAGCCCCUGGAGGUGAAGUUCGGACUGACGCUGCAGCAGAUCAUCGAUGUGGACGAGAAAAAUCAACUUCUCAUAACGAAUCUUUGGCUUUCGUUGGAAUGGAAUGACUACAAUCUGCGAUGGAACGAGACGGAAUAUGGCGGGGUCAAGGAUCUGCGAAUCACGCCCAACAAACUGUGGAAGCCCGACGUGCUCAUGUACAAUAGCCAUGCCGGGAAAGAAGAAUACGAUAGUCUACGCCUGCUGCCCAGAACCAUAUGUCGAUAUCACCUUUACUAUACAAAUACGUCGCCGUACAUUAUAUUAUUUUUUCAAUUUAAUUGUGCCCUGUGUGCUAAUCUCAUCGAUGGCCCUCUUGGGCUUCACAUUGCCGCCGGACUCUGGCGAGAAGCUGACGCUGGGCGUAACUAUACUACUAUCAUUAACAGUAUUUCUAAACCUUGUUGCCGAGUCCAUGCCGACAACGUCGGAUGCUGUUCCUCUUAUAGGCACCUAUUUCAACUGCAUCAUGUUCAUGGUCGCAUCGUCGGUGGUGCUCACGGUUGUGGUGCUCAACUAUCACCAUCGCACAGCGGACAUUCACGAGAUGCCACCGUGGAUCAAAUCCGUUUUCCUACAAUGGCUGCCCUGGAUCUUGCGGAUGGGUCGACCCGGCCGCAAGAUCACACGCAAAACAAUACUAUUAAGCAAUCGCAUGAAGGAAUUGGAGCUGAAGGAGCGCUCUUCCAAGUCUCUGCUCGCCAAUGUUCUCGAUAUUGACGAUGACUUUCGGCAUACAAUAUCAGGAUCUCAAACCGCCAUCGGUUCGUCGGCUAGCUUUGGCCGACCCACAACGGUGGAGGAACACCACACGGCCAUUGGCUGCAAUCACAAAGAUCUCCACUUAAUUCUCAAAGAAUUGCAAU
rnacentral:misc_RNA from 1 species